rnacentral:rRNA from 1 species
CCUACGGGAGGCAGCAGUGAGGAAUAUUGGUCAAUGGGCUUACGCCUGAACCAGCCAAGUCGCGUGAGGGAAGACUGCCCUAUGGGUUGUAAACCUCUUUUGUCAGGGAGCAUUUGGCGCUCCGUGUAGCGUUAUCGAGAGUACCUGACUUAGAAGCCCCGGCUAACUACGUGCCAGCAGCCGCGGUAAUACGUGGGGGGCAAGCGUUAUCCGGAUUUACUGGGUGUAAAGGGAGCGUAGACGGCAGUGCAAGUCCGGAGUGAAAGCCCGGGGCUCAACCCUGGGACUGCUCUGGAAACUGUAAAGCUGGAGUGCGGGAGGGGCAGGCGGAAUUCCUGGUGUAGCGGUGAAAUGCGUAGAUAUCAGGAGGAACACCGGCGGCGAAGGCGGCCUGCUGGACCGUAACUGACGUUGAGGCUCGAAAGCGUGGGGAGCAAACAGGAUUAGAUACCCGUGUAGUC